rnacentral:rRNA from 1 species
AUGCAGGCCUCAACAUCACACUCCCAAAAUCAAUCAAUCAGAGUUCCAUCCAAUCCAACAGACUGGCAAUACGAUUUCAAGAUGAGGAGCGGAGGCCAUCUUCUUCUUCUUGCCGUGGCGUUAGUGAUCCUAUCGCCGUCGCUGUGCCCCGCAGCCACUGCAUGGGGCAUCUUCUCCUCCUCUAAACCCACCAGCCAGACCGUCGCCGCGCCGACGCUGCCAGACGACGGCGACGGCGGCGGCAGGACGGUGGCCGAUUUCUCGAUGGAAGGCGGCGGCGGCGGCCCGAGGGGCGUGGAGCUGCUGGAUGGCGCGCGGCGCAGGAUCGCCGGCCCGGCCUCCUGCUGGGGCGAGGCGUACCGCGGCCUCUUCGCCAGCUGCGCCCACAUCAUGUCCGACAAGGAGCGCCAGUCCAGGCUCGCGUGGCGCCUCAGCGCCUGCUACCAGCAGGACUCCGGCCGCCCGCCGCUGCCGCCCUGCGACGACCGCUCGCGCAUGGUGCACUGCCGCAAGCGCCUCUCCGAGCACGAGGAGAAGGUCUUCCUCGAGUUCUUCCUCGAGACCAACACCCUCUGCCACCAGCUCCAGGCGGAGGCGUUCAAGCAGAGCACGGAGCGGCUGGUGAACGACCUGACCCGGGCGGCGGCGGCGGCGAGCGAGAAGCUGACGGCGAUCGAGGAGAGGUCGGACCAGAUCAUGCAGGAGUCGAGCAAGCUCCACGGCUCCAUGUCGUCGAUCGUGUCGCAGACGGAGCAACUGGCCGCCGCGUCCGACAAUCUCAAAUCCCGGAUCGGCGACGUGCUGGCGCAGUCGGCGGCCAUCGCGGAGCAGUCGAGGCAGAUCGCGGCGGCGCAGGCGGGGCUGAGGGAAGGGCAGGAGGAGAUGCGUGCCCGGGUCGACGCCGGCAUGGCGCGGGUGGAGGAGGAGUACGCGCGGCUGGGCGAGGAGAUGGCGAGGCUGAAGGAGGAGGCGGCGGGGAUCGAGCGGGAGGUCAGGGCCGUGGGCGACGCCAUGGCGGCGCGGAUGGAGGGCCUGCAGCGCACCGCGGAGGAGAUCGGGACCGCCGCCGGCAAGUCGCUCGAGAACCAGAGGGCGCUGCUGGAAGGUCAGGCGAACGCGACGCGGGCGCUCGGGGAGCUCCACGGGUUCCUGGCCCGGGCGCUCGAGGAGAGCAGGGAGGCGAUGCAGAGGCUGGCGCGGUUCGGGCGGCAGCAGCAGGAGGAGCUGCUGUCCCGGCAGGAGCAGCUCCGGCGCGCCCACGACCACCUCAUGCACAACUCGGAGUCGAUCCUCCGGGCGCAGGAGGAGUUCAGCGCGAAGCAGGCCAGCAUCUUCGCGGCGCUGGACAAGCUCUACGUGCUGCACAACGCCAUCCUGGUGGAGUCCCGCUUCGUCAAGGCCUUCUUCUUCUACUGCUGCGUCGUCUUCCUCCUCUACCUCCUCACCAGCGCCAAGCAGACCUUCGCCAUCAGAGGCCAGCUCUACUUCGGUCUGUGCGUCAUGCUCGUCGUGGAGGUCGCGCUCAUCAGGCUGGGGGCCGCCGACGACGACCUCACCAAGCCGUUCUGGGUCGUGUCCAACGUGCUGCUGCUCCGGUCGGCCUUCCUCGCCGCCGCCGCCGCCCAGAUCCUGCACGCCAUCUUCGCCUUCAAGGAUUACGACGUGCUGAACCACGAGCUGCUCCAGACGCUGGUGGAGAAAGUCCGGGCAAUCGAAGACAACGCCGCCGGAGACAAGAUGUGUCCAUGGGGCACAGGCAGUGAUGAUGAAAGUAGCCUCAGCGACUACUCGUGGGUCUUCGACGAGCUGCAGGACGACGUCGACAGCGAAAUCGACCCAGACUUCGUUCUCCGGGAAGAUGACAUCUGCAGGGAGGACCACGGUUUCCGGGAAGAAAUCGGCGAAAAUUCACUCUCGGCAUCGCUCGCCAUGAGGAGAUACAACCUUCGGGCACGCAUUAUGCCACGGUGA